UACGUAGGGUGCAAGCGUUAAUCGGAAUUACUGGGCGUAAAGCGUGCGCAGGCGGUGAUGUAAGACAGGUGUGAAAUCCCCGGGCUUAACCUGGGAACUGCAUUUGUGACUGCAUCGCUGGAGUGCGGCAGAGGGGGAUGGAAUUCCGCGUGUAGCAGUGAAAUGCGUAGAUAUGCGGAGGAACACCGAUGGCGAAGGCAAUCCCCUGGGCCUGCACUGACGCUCAUGCACGAAAGCUAGGGGAGCGAAUGGG
rnacentral:rRNA from 1 species